CCUUCUCCUCUCCCCAUCUCAGUCUCUGCUCACUCUCACCUUCUCUAUGUCUUAGGUGAAGCCGCUGUGUGAGUCGCGCAGCGUGGGUCGGAUCAGUAAGCAGUGGACUGGACUACCUAAGGAAAUCUUCACAGAUGCCGAUAACUUUGGGAUCCAAUUCCCGAAAGAUCUGGAUGUGAAGAUGAAAGCAGUGUUACUGGGCGCCUGCUUCCUGCUGGAUUACGCCUUCUUCGAGAGGUCACGCAACAGGACGGAGCGCAGCACCGUGAUUGGUUAAUGGAUGUCGUCAUGACUGUAUCCCUUGUCACAUGACCCAGUUUACACCUCCCCGCCCCCAUCCCAACUGUAACUUCCCCCCCUCCCCCGCCCACUACAUGUACCCCAAAGUUUACAGCGGCCUGUAUAAGCCGGCUCAUUUUGUACAGAUGUAUCUAUUCUAAGCUUUUAUGUGUUUGACAAUAAAUAUUCAUCUGUA